GGGUCGUUAGCUCAGUUGGUAGAGCAGUUGACUUUUAAUCAAUUGGUCGCGGUUCGAUCCCGUCAUCACCCACCA
rnacentral:tRNA from 1 species